UAGGGAAUCUUCGGCAAUGGGGGCAACCCUGACCGAGCAACGCCGCGUGAGUGAAGAAGGUUUUCGGAUCGUAAAGCUCUGUUGUAAGUCAAGAACGGGUGUGAGAGUGGAAAGUUCACACUGUGACGGUAGCUUACCAGAAAGGGACGGCUAACUACGUGCCAGCAGCCGCGGUAAUACGUAGGUCCCGAGCGUUGUCCGGAUUUAUUGGGCGUAAAGCGAGCGCAGGCGGUUUGAUAAGUCUGAAGUUAAAGGCUGUGGCUCAACCAUAGUUCGCUUUGGAAACUGUCAAACUUGAGUGCAGAAGGGGAGAGUGGAAUUCCAUGUGUAGCGGUGAAAUGCGUAGAUAUAUGGAGGAACACCGGUGGCGAAAACGGCUCUCUGGUCUGUAACUGACGCUGAGGCUCGAAAGCGUGGGGAGCGAACAGGAUUAGAUACCCUGGUAGUCCACGCCGUAAACGAUGAGUGCUAGGUGUUGGAUCCUUUCCGGGAUUCAGUGCCGCAGCUAACGCAUUAAGCACUCCGCCUGGGGAGUACGACCGCAAGGUUGAAAC
rnacentral:rRNA from 1 species